rnacentral:sRNA from 1 species
GCUGGGCAUGGUAGUGCAUGCCUGUAAUCCCAGUAGCUCAGGAGGCUGAGGCAGGAGGAUUGCAGUUCAAAGCCAGUGCCAGCAACAUAGUGAGGCCCUGAGCAACUCAGAAAGACCCUGUCUCUA